UACGGGGGGAGCAAGCGUUGUUCGGAUUUACUGGGCGUAAAGGGCGCGUAGGCGGCCACCGCAAGUCAGUUGUGAAAUCUCUGGGCUUAACCCAGAAAGGUCAACUGAUACUGCGGGGCUAGAGUGCAGAAGGGGCAACUGGAAUUCUCGGUGUAGCGGUGAAAUGCGCAGAGAUCGGGAGGAACACCCGUAGCGAAGGCGGCACUCUGGGCCGGUACUGACGCUGAGGAGCGAAAGCGUGGGGAGCAAACAGG
rnacentral:rRNA from 1 species